ensembl:snoRNA
UUCUCCCUAAAUAAAAACCAGCAGUUUGUUGAAGCUGUUGUUUCCAAGCGGAAGCCUAAAUAAACAUCUUUUUUAUGGUCUGAUGGUCAUUUCAGGACUUUGGAAAUGUAAUGGCAAUUCAUUAGGAAGAAAUAUCU